UACGGGGGGGGCAAGCGUUGUUCGGAAUUACUGGGCGUAAAGAGUGUGUAGGCGGUGCUCUAAGUCUGUUGUGAAAUCUCCCGGCUUAACUGGGAGGGUGCGGCGGAGACUGGAGUGCUAGAGUGUGGGAGAGGUAAGCGGAAUUCCUGGUGUAGCGGUGAAAUGCGUAGAUAUCAGGAGGAACACCUGUGGUGUAGACAGCUUACUGGACCACGACUGACGCUGAGACACGAAAGCGUGGGUAGCAAACAGG
rnacentral:rRNA from 1 species